CCCGCGCGGUCCUGGGCGGCGCACGCGCGGUGCGGCGGCGCGAGCCCUGGGCGGCCGGCGCACGCGCGGUGCGGUGGCGGGCAAGAUGGCGGCGAGCAGGGCGGGUGUUUUCGCUGGACGGCGGCGGGCGAGGGCAGAGGCGGCCUGGAGUCGAGCAUGUGGGGGCCGCGGUGAGGCGAGGGCCCCGGUUCCUCCCCAGCGCGGGCCGGGGCGUGCGCUCACCCCUGUGGACGCAGCCUGGAGGAGCAGGGGUGCAGGCGGGCCCCGGAGCGGGAUUGUGGCACGGCGUCAGCAGGGGGACGGCUCGUGAUGUGGCAGGUGUGCCCGAGAGUGCUGGCAAGCAAGAAGAUGGGUAGAAGACAGAUGCUCCUGGACACCCUGAGGCCUCCCCUGCCCCCAGGCACAGACUGUGGGUACCAGCCGACCUGGGCACCAACUGACUGGAACCACCGCUGAGCCCUGCUGCCUCCUGUACAGCUACCCCAAAGCCAUGGGCUUCCCCGGUGCAGCAUGUGUCGAUGGGUCCUCCAUUGCCUCUGACGUCUCCCCAGGCACUCGUACGCUGUGCGGAGGUCUGGAUGUCUCCAGCAACGGCACAGCAGCCUGAUGCCACCUCUCGUCUGGGACGCGGGGUCCUUUGCAGCUCUUCUGGGAUGCGGGGUCCUUGGUGAGUUCCCUGCUGCCUCCUCUGGUGUUCUCUGCGAGCUCAUAGAUCCCUCCUCCUCCUCCUCCCCCCCCCCACCCCUUUGCCUGUUGGGGUGGGAGACCGGUGGCUCCUCCCGCCGAGCUGACAGCCGCGUGGGGCACCCCUAUGUGCUCACUACGCAUCUGGGAUGGCCCUCCUGCCCUGAGGGCCCUGCAGAGUCCCACCCUUCCUGCAACUAGCCCCCUCUCCCCCCCCCCCCAAGCCAUUAAACCAUGCAAUAUCAGGUAAAAAUGUCAGGUAAAAACAAGGAUUACUUUUUAAACUAAUCCGUGGAUAAACCAUGUGUAUAAUAGUCUGGAAACAAUUGAUAAGCAUGAGUAAAAUGUAAUUCAGGGUCUGAUCCUGUAAUCCAUGCUCACAGAUGUACAAAUGAUAACAUUUUCAGUUUAAGGGCACAAGCAGUUCUAAAAAUACUUGACUAAUUUUGCUCAUUUCCCAGUGUUCUGUAGAGAGUGGCUAUUUUAAAAAGUUAACCAAGUCUGUGUAGUUUUAAUUAGAUGUAUUAAAAAGAUAAAACAAGGAAAUAUAGCUCACAUUCAAACACUCAAAUAUGUGAAAAUAGCUGAAAUUGCUCUUACUGCACUAAGCUCCUUAAAUUGACUUGCUGGAAUGUUGAAUAUUAGAAUGAUCAGACCAGAGUAUUAGCAGCUUUAAUGCUUUUAUCUGGUGCGGUUCGCCCACCUGAGGGUUACCGAGCAGGCACAGUCGACUUCCUUUCUGAUGGCUGUGAUGCCGGGCUUCGUGCUGGUGUGUGAACUGCCGCUGUCUGUGCAUAGUGCAAAAAAGAGUAACUAAGACAGACCUUUGUGGUGAGAACCCUUGAUAUGGUUCUGUCAGGAACACAUCCCGCUGUCCUCAAUAGAAAAGCCACCCUAGAUCUCAAGUUUGAUUCGGUAACUGAUUAAAUGGAUUCUGGUUUAGAUCACGAAUAUAUCACAUAGUCAAAACUGUGCAAUAUUCUCCAUGAACAAUUAAAGUGAUUAUUUCAUUUUAGACCUUGAAUAAGGAGUUGAAUGAGCUGGUAAACAUUACUUGGUGUUAAGAUGGUAUGAAAAUUUAAUAUCUUUAUUCUUCAGUCUCAGUGCUGCAAGAGUCUCUCUUUCAUCCUGGUAGAUAAUAUUAAUUGCUGUUUCUCUACCUGUGGAGCAUAUGAGAUUUGCCAUGCAAGCUCAGAAUGAAUACAAUUAUCCAACAACCUUACAAAUUUAGAAAAUAAUUUCUGCAGCCAAGACGUAUAGCAAUGUUGUAGCAUAUGUACAACCUAAAAAGAUGGUUUCCAGAGAUGCAUAUGUAUAUUAAGUUUCAGCCUUCUGGGUGUGUGACUAUUCAGAGACGCCCAGUGAACUGUGUCCAGGUUAGCCUGUAGCCAAACAGGCAGACCCAGCACACCGUGCCUGUGGUGUGUUCAAGCUGAAAGAGACUUCAGGUGCACUGUCGUCACCGGGUAUCAUGCUGACAGGCUUACGGUGUCCACAAGGGGUGGGUCUUUUCUGGGCAAUUCACAGCUGCUCUUAGACUACCAUAUAGUCAGAAUCCUAUGCGGAAUUAUUAAUGGUUUUGCUACUGAAAAAAAAAAAAGAAAGACAGAACACUUGAUCUGCAUAUUGAUAGCCUGAAAAAACAAAAAAGAUAUAGGAUACAGAAAAAAAGAAAGAGGAUAAUAAUUUAUUUAAGCUAAAAGCAACAUUAAACUACUGCUUCAUUGUUCUACUACCUUUAGCUCACAGAGCUUAAGUUCCUGGGGAAGCCUGAUAAGGGGUAAGAUGAAAUAGGAUUUUUUUUCAGUUUUUUUUAGUAGCAGACUAGUGAAGGUGAUAUGAUCGAGGUCCCUAAUUUUUUUUUUUCCUCUGCCCAAGAAAACUCGGAAGGAUACAUCACUGCUUUGACAGAGAGGGGAUAAAACAAAAUCAAAAAAGAGCUCCUUUUUCAGGAGCAAUUCCCACUUACUGUGAUUUAAGCACCCACUCUGAAGUUCUGGGACUAAGUACAUGGUCCAUAUGCUCUGACUACAAAAAACACUAUCCACAGAGAGCAAGGUCGCUGUGAUUACCUAUGUAAAGUUUCAUUCAGGAUGCCCAUUAUCUGGAGAAACCUAUUGUUGCACAUGAUCUGUCUUAUAUUUUCUCGACAUACAAUACAACGAUUUCUCAACAUAUAAUACUUGAAGACCGAUAUAAAUAUUCUGUAGAAUGAUACUUUCUAAGUCAUUAAUUUUAAAUCAUAAAUCAAAAAUAUUUUAAAAAGAGAGAUUUGUUCUGCAUUGUCGGAGAAUAACUACCUUUAAAAUAAACUAAAAAGGCUCUAUAAAUGAAUAAAUUUUGCAAUUUUUUGCCUUCAAUAGUAUUCAAAGGUUAAAAGUCAAUUAAAAUUGUAAAAUAAGUGGACUAGCUACUUAUUUCAUUUAUUUUAUCUUUCCCUUUCCUCCUUUGAAUACUCUUUUUCUUAAAUUGUAUUUUCCAGAUAUUGCUAUAUUUCAGUUGUACUUUCUCUUUUUCUAAUAUUCUCUUUGUAAGUAUGUCCCGAUCCAAUAUCGGGAGGGUUUUGUUAUGAUCCCAAGGAUGAGAUUAAGACGCUAAAACUGGUCAAAUAUC